UUUCCGUAGGUGAACCUGCGGAAGGAUCAUUAUCGAGUUUUGAAUGGGUUGUCUGCUGGCUCGCAAGGGCAUGUGCACGCCUGUCUCAUCCACUCUCAACUUCUGUGCACUUUUCAUAGGCCGGCUUGUGGGUGCGUUCGCGCACUUGUAGGUGUCGGGCUUAUGCUUUACUACAAACGAUUCAGUUUUAGAAUGUCAUACUUUGCUAUAACGCAAUUAUAUACAACUUUCAGCAACGGAUCUCUUGGCUCUCGCAUCGAUGAAGAACGCAGC
rnacentral:misc_RNA from 1 species